UGGCCCUCAGGAGCUCCAUUGCCCUUUGUUGGGGUUUCUGACCUCAGCACAGGAAGAUGACAUCACUCAAAAGGGCAACAGUGCUCUCCCAUCAUGUUGCCUCUAAACCACAGCUUUUGUGGGCCUGACCUUUACCUCCACUGACACAGAUCAGAGCAAUGUAGGCCGAUCGCUGCCCUUUUGGUCAACGUAUCUGUAUUUUCCACGUGUUUUACAGCUUCACGUGUCUGCUGUGCAAUUAUUUACUUCUACAAGUGUUUGCUUUGCCUUUUUUUUUUUUUUUCCUCUUCAAAUUUGUCUUGUGACAGCCUUUUCCACAUGGGAUCCUUCAGCUUUGUAGAAACCCGGAAUAAGAAGGGUUCCUUUAGUGGCAAAGAGCCAUGUGACAUGGCACCCAGGCCACCUGGAUCCUGCGUGUCCUUCUGAGCAACAGGUUUUGGCUUCAGCGCUUGAAAGCAAACACUGCGUGUGGGAUUGACCAGCCAGGGCUGCUUUGGGGUGGCUGAUAAGGAGCAAGAGAGCGGGCUGCCCCCGGGGCAGUGACUUUGUGAGGAGAACCAACAGCAUGACCUCACAUUUCCAGCUAAAGCUGGCUCCUUUGUCCCCAGCCCUAUGGAAACCAAACAGCUCUCCAGCAGGGACACCCAGAGCAAGGUAAAUGUGGAUGGAUGGCAAACUCAACCCCAUAGGGACACAACUACACCAGCAGGGCCCAUUCCCAAGGCUCAGCAUCUCUCUGACAAGCAUGAGGGCAAUGGGCAUUGCAGGGCGGGCACUAUUUCCUGCCACAGGGACAAGUCUCCUCCAGCCCUGGGCACUGCUGAGAUCCUACUGCUCUUCUGAAGGUGACGUGGGACCACCAGGAGCAGCAGAAGCAGUGGGAGG